CCUCGUUCAGAUUGAACGCUGGCGUGAUGCUUCUUACACAUGCGCAAGUCGAACGGCAGCACGGACUUCGGUCUGCGCGGCGAGGGCGAACGGGCAGGCCGUAUCGGAACGUGCCUAGUAGCGGGGGAUAACUACGCGAAAGCGCGGCCAUUACCGCAUACCUUCGGGGGCGAAAGCGGGUAGACCCGGGCCUCGCAAUUAUUAGAGCGGCCGAUAUCGGAUUAGCUAGUUGGAAGGGGGUAACGGUCACCGCGACGAUCCGUAGCUGGUUUGAGAGACGACCAGCCACACUGACUGAGAGCUGACGUCUCGUCCUCGUGGAGCAGCAGUGGGGGAAUUUUGGACAAUGGGGGAAACCCUGAUCCAGCCAUCUCAUGUGUGUGCGAUGAAGGCCUUCGGGUUGUAAAGCACUUUUGGCAGGAAAGAAACGGCACGGGAUAAUACCCUCGUGCAACUGACGGUACCUGCAGGAAUAAGCACCGGCUAACUAGUCGCCAGCAGCCGCGGUAAUACGUAGUAUGCAAGCGUUAAUCGGAAUUACUGGGCGUAGCGUGCGCAGGCGGUUCGGAAAGAAAGAUGCGAAAUCCCAGAGCUUAACUUUGGAACUGCAUUUUUAACUACCGAGCUAGAGGUGCAAGUCAGAGGGAGUGCAUAGAAUUUUGGUAGAAAGCAAAUGCGUAGAUAUGCGGAGGAACACCAGAUGGCGAAGAAACGCGCCUCCUGGGAUAACACUGACGCUCAUGCACGAAAGCGUGGGGAGCAAACAGGAUUAGAUACCCUGGUUAGUCCACGCCCUAAACGAUGUCAACCAGCUGUUGGGGCCUUCGGGCCUCGGUAGCGCAGUUUAACGCGAAGUUGACCGCCUGGGGAGUACGGUCGCAAGAUUAAACUCAAAGGAAUUGACGGGGACCCGCACAAGCGGUGGAUGAUGUGGACACCUGAUGCACGAAAACCUUUACCUACUCUGACAUGUCUGGAAUCCCUUAAGAGAUUUGGGAGUGCUCGCAAGAGAACCGGAACACAGGUGCUGCAUGGCUGUCGUCAGCUCGUGGCCGAGAUGUUGCUGUCUCGCAACGAGCGCAACUUUGUCAUUAGUUGCUACGAAAGGCAUCAAUGAGACUGCCGGUGACAAACCGGAGGAAGGUGGAAGGCUGAACGUCCCGGCGGCCCUUAUGGGUAGGGCUUCAGACCAGCUUGCCAAUGGUCGGGACAGAGGGUCGCCAACCUGCGAGGUGAUUAAUCCCAGAAACCUGAUCGCACGUCCGGAUCGCAGUCUGCAACUCGACUGCGUGAAGUCGGAACGCUGGUAAUCGCGGAUCAGCAUGUCGCGGUAAAGCAUUGUCCGGGUCUUGUACACACCGCCCGUCACACCAUGGGAGUGGGUUUUACCAGAAGUAGCCAGCCUAACCGUAAGGAGUGGCGAUUACCACGGUAGGAUCUAUGACUGGGGUGAAGUCGUAACAAGGCAG
rnacentral:rRNA from 1 species